ensembl:lncRNA
UCAGGGUUUCAGCAGCAGAGCUGCACUCUGUGGAACUGCAUGGCUGUCAGACUGAACUUAUUUCACCAACUCCUCUGACAACUGCAAGGCGGAUGGGCUUCAGUUUGCCUGACAUAAGCCACCUAAGAUGGUAGAAAGUGAGAAAACUCGGCGUGUAAAGGUAUUCCUUUGUCUCUCCUGCUGCAUUGGACAUGGAGGAAAGACUGAUAAUGAGGUGCUGUAGUUCAUGAAAGCUUGGGAGUGAAGAAAUACUGCACUGGUGUUCCUGUAUGAGGCAGCACAUGAGCAACUACUGAUAAUCCAUGAGAGCCUGGAUCUAUGCAAAUUAGCAGCUCACCUUUGCAGCACAUGAAGGCCAGCACUGGUUGAUGGACACUUCAUUUGGACACUGUUUCAUGUUCUGAAACAGUGAACUAUCCAAAUGACACCGCCUCAAAUUCUCAAUAUUCUGUCAACAGAACAAUACAACACUAUCAGUCAUUCUCACUUGUGCAGAUCCGGCAGAGUAAAUUGAUCCAUUUUAAACAGUGAUACUGCCUUGAAGUUAGACUUGAUGGACCAAAGAGAAACAAAGAUAUCACGUGAGGCCUUUCCUACUGUUCGUAAGAACAUGCUAAGCUGAAGCAGCAGGUUGUUCAGGAUAAUGAUGGCACAAGCUGCAGUCUGCAACAAAAUGAGCACAAAGACUUUCACUUCACCUAAAGAGCCAGGUUGUUGCUGUGAGAUCAUCGACAUGCACUCUGUUAGUGAGGCUGUGCAGACCAGAAGAAAUCACUGAGAACAGAGAAUCCCUGAAGGCUAUCAUCUCAAGAAGCACAGGACUAGGGUUGCCAAC